rnacentral:sRNA from 1 species
CCUCGCCGCUGACCGAGUUUUUCCUUUACAGACCGAGUCGCCUUGCUGUCGUCGCGGUGAUUUUCCUGCUACUGCUACUGCUGCUGCUGCCGCCGCCACUACCACUGGGCUCAUUUGCCCCGACCCCUUCCCGCCGCCCCGCCCCCAGCCCCACACAAGAUGUCAGAGGAUUUAGCAAAGCAGCUGGCAAGCUACAAAGCUCAGCUCCAGCAAGUUGAAGCUGCAUUAUCUGGAAAUGGAGAAAAUGAAGAUUUGCUAAAAUUGAAGAAAGAUUUACAAGAAGUUAUAGAACUAACCAAAGACCUUCUGUCAACUCAACCUUCUGAGACUCUUGCAAGUUCAGACAGUUUUGCUUCCACUCAACCUACUCAUUCAUGGAAAGUAGGAGACAAGUGUAUGGCAAUCUGGAGUGAAGAUGGACACCAUGAUAUCUUUACAGGUGUUAUGAAGCGGAGAUUGAGGAGAUAGAUGAAGAAAAUGGCACCGCUGCAAUCACCUUUGCUGGUUAUGGCAAUGCUGAAGUGACUCCACUGUUGAACCUCAAGCCUGUAGAAGAAGGAAGGAAGGCAAAGGAAGACAGUGGCAACAAACCCAUGUCAAAAAAAGAAAUGAUUGCCCAGCAGCGUGAAUAUAAAAAGAAGAAAGCUUUGAAAAAAGCUCAGAGAAUAAAAGAACUUGAGCAGGAAAGAGAGGACCAGAAAGUGAAAUGGCAACAAUUCAACAACAGAGCCUAUUCUAAAAACAAAAAAGGCC